rnacentral:rRNA from 1 species
AAGGGCCGGGCGCUGCUAAUACAUGCAGUCGAGCGAAUGGAUUAAGAGCUUGCUCUUAUGAAGUUAGCGGCGGACGGGUGAGUAACACGUGGGUAACCUGCCCAUAAGACUGGGAUAACUCCGGGAAACCGGGGCUAAUACCGGAUAACAUUUUGAACCGCAUGGUUCGAAAUUGAAAGGCGGCUUCGGCUGUCACUUAUGGAUGGACCCGCGUCGCAUUAGCUAGUUGGUGAGGUAACGGCUCACCAAGGCAACGAUGCGUAGCCGACCUGAGAGGGUGAUCGGCCACACUGGGACUGAGACACGGCCCAGACUCCUACGGGAGGCAGCAGUAGGGAAUCUUCCGCAAUGGACGAAAGUCUGACGGAGCAACGCCGCGUGAGUGAUGAAGGCUUUCGGGUCGUAAAACUCUGUUGUUAGGGAAGAACAAGUGCUAGUUGAAUAAGCUGGCACCUUGACGGUACCUAACCAGAAAGCCACGGCUAACUACGUGCCAGCAGCCGCGGUAAUACGUAGGUGGCAAGCGUUAUCCGGAAUUAUUGGGCGUAAAGCGCGCGCAGGUGGUUUCUUAAGUCUGAUGUGAAAGCCCACGGCUCAACCGUGGAGGGUCAUUGGAAACUGGGAGACUUGAGUGCAGAAGAGGAAAGUGGAAUUCCAUGUGUAGCGGUGAAAUGCGUAGAGAUAUGGAGGAACACCAGUGGCGAAGGCGACUUUCUGGUCUGUGACUGACACUGAGGCGCGAAAGCGUGGAGAGCAA